AAUGAACGUUGGCGGCAUGGAUUAGGCAUGCAAGUCGAGCGAGAAGCCUUUUUUGCUUGCAUUAAGGGUGGACAGCGGCGAAAGGGAGAGUAACGCGUAGAAAUGUACCCCAAGAUCCGGGAUAGCUGCGGGAAACUGCAGGUAAUACCGGAUAAUGUCUCCGGACCAAAGUUUUUCGUCUUGGGAGCAGUCUGCGUACUAUUAGCUUGUUGGUGGGGUAAUGGCCUACCAAGGCUCAGAUGGUUAGCGGGCGUGAGAGCGUGGCCCGUCUCACUGGGACUGAGACACUGCCCAGACGUCUACGGACGGCUGCAGUCGAGAAUCUUCCGCAAUGGACGAAAGUCUGACGGAGCGAUGCCGCGUGGUGGAUGAAGGCCCUCGGGUUGUAAACACCUGUCAGUAGGGAGGAAAUUUUGACCGAUCUACAGAGGAAGUCCGGGCUAAGUACGUGCCAGCGCCGCGGUAA
rnacentral:rRNA from 1 species